rnacentral:rRNA from 1 species
AACGAACGCUGGCGGCAUGCCUAACACAUGCAAGUCGAACGAUACCUUCGGGUCUUGUGGCGCAAGGGUGCGUAACGCGUGGGAACCUGCCCUUAGGUUCGGAAUCACUCCCCGAAAGGGGUGCUAAUACCGGAUAAUGUCUUCGGACCAAAGAUUUAUCGCCUUUGGAUGGGCCCGCGUUGGAUUAGCUAGUUGGUAGGGUAAAAGCCUACCAAGGCGACGAUCCAUAGCUGGUCUGAGAGGAUGAUCAGCCACACUGGGACUGAGACACGGACCAGACUCGUACGGGAGGCAGCAGUGGGGAAUAUUGGACAAGGGGCGAAAGCCUGAUCAAGCAAUGCCGCGUGAGUGAUGAAGGCGUUAGGGUUGUAAAGCUCUUUUACACGGGAGGAUAAUGACAGUACCGGGAGAAUAAGCUCCGGCUAACUCCGUG